GGUAACCGGAGGGAAGUUGCGGUUCUCGCAACGAGGAGCCCUAGACCCGGGGGAAAAAUUAUAAAAUAAUUUUUGGGACUCCAGAGAAGGGUCAUUGAGGUUCCCAUGGCAUUAGAAUGCCAAGAAAAUACUUAGAAAAAUUUUUCAAUCGGUACAGACAAUUUUGACUCGUUAAGCCAAACGGAGGGCAUUUUGGUCAUUUCGCCUUCAGAGGUGAUUUUUGGCCGACUUGUCCAGUUAAGUAAAUAAUUAUUAUGAUCUAAAAUGUGAAUAAAUAUUGCUAAAAAUUGAAUUGAAAAUGAGUAGCAAAGAAAAGAAAAAAAAAAUGAAUUAAAAUUACAAUUUUGACCUCAUGCUUAUGUCACUAAGCACUCUCACCCAAUCACAUUGUGACACAUGUCCAUAAACCAAUUAAAAUGAGUCAAAUGGGCAGAAAAUUGAAAGGAAAAACUGAAUUCUUCUUCUUCAAUUCCCGUAUACCAAAUCAAGAAGCUUUCUCUCCAUUUUUUUUCUUUUAAAGGUUGAUUUUCCUAAGCUUCCUCACCUCAAAACCUUAUCCUUCCUUCACAAAAAGUUAUACCCACAUCAAGGACAAGUGUUUGGCAACCAAGAAAAGCCAAGAAAGUGAAGGAAUUGCUUGGGAAAAUUCUGCUCAAAUUAAGGUACUGGAGACCCCGAUCGUGAGCCCAGUAGACCACAGACUGGGUGAGGCCAUGCGACAGUUCUGCUCAGUGUCUGUGUCACCUCGUCACCUGCAGUGCAUUGGUAGGACACUAGAUGCCAUUUUGUCAUCUUGUAAUUAACUUUUUAUUUUCUCAUAUGUAUUUAGGAUUUAUGUAAUGUAUUUUGAGGUUCAUGUAAAUAAUAAAGAUUUAUGGUUAUGUAUGGUAUUAAUUUGAGUAUUUAAUGGUUGUUUAUGUAUGAGAACCCUGAGAAAGGGAUGUUUUGAAAAAUGAAAAGGUUGUUGAGACCUGAAAUUGACAAAUUACCGAGAUAUUGAUAUUGAGUUUUAUUGAUGA